UACGUAGGGUGCAAGCGUUGUCCGGAUUUAUUGGGUUUAAAGGGUGCGUAGGCGGUUCUGUAAGUCAGUGGUGAAAUACUCCAGCUUAACUGGAGGGGUGCCAAUGAUACUGCAGAACUUGAGUACAGAUGAGGUAGGCGGAAUUGACGGUGUAGCGGUGAAAUGCAUAGAUAUCGUCAAGAACACCUAUAGCGAAGGCAGCUUACUGGGCUGUAACUGACGCUGAGGCACGAAAGUGUGGGGAUCAAACAGG
rnacentral:rRNA from 1 species